CGUCUUAGGAAGCGAACAGCGGCCGCCGGUGGUGCUGCAACUUCUGAGUUGCACGAGGACGAGGUGCAGGCUGCUGAAGUCAUGCCGAGCAAUGGUGAAGAUGGGCAGCUGUUGCAUCCAUGCAGAAGGUCCAAACGCCUACAGAGGGAACGAACUGAAAAGCAAGAAUUGAGUAGCAGGGAUAGUCAGCCUGAUGUAUUUGUGAACAGCAAGGAUGCUAAGGACUCCAAAAUGUUGGUUCGACAAAGGAGGCCAAACCGCCUCAGAAAGAGAUUUAUAUCCGAGUAUUUCAGUGGUGAAG